rnacentral:rRNA from 1 species
AGCACGAAAGCGUGGGAGCAAUAGGAUUAGAUACCCUAGUAGUCCACGCCGUAAACGAUGAGAACUAGGUGUUGGGGGAAUAACUCAGUGCCGCAGUUAACGCAGUAAGUUCUCCGCCUGGGGAGUAUGCACGCAAGUGUGAAACUCAAAGGAAUUGACGGGGGCCCGCACAAGCGGUGGAGUAUGUGGUUUAAUUCGAAGCAACGCGAAGAACCUUACCAGGCCUUGACAUCCCUUGCAGAGGUAUAGAGAUAUAUCCGAGGUUAUCAAGGAGACAGGUGGUGCGUGGUUGUCGUCAGCUCGUGUCGUGAGAUGUUGGGUUAAGUCCCGCAACGAGCGCAACCCUUGUGAUAUGUUACUAACAUUGAGUUGAGGACUCAUAUCAGACUGCCGGUGACAAACCGGAGGAAGGUGGGGAUGACGUCAAAUCAUCAUGCCCCUUAUGGCCUGGGCUACACACGUACUACAAUGGCGUCUACAAAGAGCGGCAAGCCUGUGAAGGCAAGCGAAUCUCAUAAAGGACGUCUCAGUUCGGAUUGAAGUCUGCAACCCGACUUCAUGAAGCUGGAAUCGCUAGUAAUCGCGAAUCAGCAUGUCGCGGUGAAUACGUUCUCGGGCCUUGUACACACCGCCCGUCAAACCAUGGGAGUUGGUAAUGCCCGAAGCCGGUGGCAUAACCCUUCGGGGAGUGAGCCGUCGAAGGCAGGACCGAUGACUGGGGUUAAGUCGUAACAAGGUAACC